GUGUAGUAUGAAAGGAGAGAUGGUUAGCAAUCCCCUUGACAAGGAUGGAAUAGGCCCUUGGGCCUAAAAUUACACAUAUGGUUAAGGCAUUGCUACCUUCUUCAUGGCAUCUAACCACUGUUUUUG
ensembl:snRNA Gm23494 predicted gene, 23494